rfam:Triticum aestivum genome assembly, contig: Triticum_aestivum_CS42_TGACv1_scaffold_096224_2AL
AAAAUACUCCCUCCAUUCCGAAUUAUUUGUCUUGGAUUUGUCUAGAUACGGAUGUAUCUAGAUUCAUUUUAAUGCUGGAUACCUCCGUAUCUAGACAAAUCUAAGACAAGUAAUUCGAAACGGAGGGAGUAUAUC